GUCGAACGGUAACGACACUAGCUUGCUAGUGGGCGACGAGUGGCGGACGGGUGAGUAACGCGUAGGAAUCUACCUAGUAGUGGGGGAUAGCCAAGGGAAACUUUGGGUAAUACCGCAUACGAUCUAAGGAUGAAAGGGGGCCUCUCUUUGAAGCUCUCGCUAUUAGAUGAGCCUGCGUAAGAUUAGCUUGUUGGUGAGGUAAUGGCUCACCAAGGCGACGAUCUUUAGCUGGUCUGAGAGGAUGAUCAGUCACACUGGAACUGAGACACGGUCCAGACUCCUACGGGAGGCAGCAGUCGGGAAUAUUGGACAAUGGGGGAAACCCUGAUCCAGCCAUGCCGCGUGUGUGAAGAAGGCCCUAGGGUUGUAAAGCACUUUCAGUAGUGAGGAAGGCUCAGUAGUUAAUACCUACUGGGAUUGACGUUAGCUACAGAAAAAGCACCGGCUAAUUUCGUGCCAGCAGCCGCGGUAAUACGAAAGGUGCAAGCGUUAAUCGGAAUUACUGGGCGUAAAGCGCGCGUAGGCGGCUUGGUAAGUUGGAUGUGAAAGCCCCGGGCUCAACCUGGGAACUGCAUCCAAAACUGCCUAGCUAGAGUAUGGUAGAGGAUGGCGGAAUUUCCUGUGUAGCGGUGAAAUGCGUAGAUAUAGGAAGGAACAUCAGUGGCGAAGGCGGCCAUCUGGACCAAUACUGACGCUGAGGUGCGAAAGCGUGGGGAGCAAACAGGAUUAGAUACCCUGGUAGUCCACGCCGUAAACGAUGAGAACUAGCCGUUGGACAUCUUGCAUGUUUAGUGGCGCAGCUAACGCGAUAAGUUCUCCGCCUGGGGAGUACGGCCGCAAGGUUAAAACUCAAAUGAAUUGACGGGGGCCCGCACAAGCGGUGGAGCAUGUGGUUUAAUUCGAA
rnacentral:rRNA from 1 species